GAGGGUAUAGCUCAAGUGGUAGAGAGCAUAUUUAGCAUGCAUGAGGUCCUGGGUUCAAUCCCCAGUACCUCCU
rnacentral:tRNA from 1 species